AUGACUAAGUGUAUGCAAGAGAUAGUCCGUGGAUGUGUGGGGAAGCCAAUUGUCGAAAAUACUCGUUCCUGCCGGUGUGAAUGCCCAGCCCUCAUCAGACUACUGCGGACAAAGAACAAUGGAUGGUACAUAGCAGAGCAUCGAGAUGGGCACAACCAUGCACUUUCCCAAAUGUAUGGACAGACAAUACACUGGCCUACGACAGUGAGCGCGGAAGCACGGAUCUGCGCAAUGGACACAUCAGCGGUGGUGAAUGAGGGACAGCUCGUGUCAGGCCUCGGAGCUCUGAACUGGAAAGAUGAAUCCACAUGCUUCUAUCUGGAAUUAGAGGAUAAAGCUAGUGUUGAGAACACGAGGUCUUGUCGUUGCGAAUGCCCGGCUCUAAUAAGACUGCUACAGACAGAGGACGAUGGGUGGUACAUUGCAGAGCACAGGGGGAGUCACAACCAUUCCCUUUCACUGAAUUUUGGUGAGACGAUCCACCAGCCCUCGCACAAGCACAUUGAUGUGUACGGCUGA
rnacentral:rRNA from 1 species